rnacentral:rRNA from 1 species
UUCGGGGGGCAAGUAGAGUGGCGCACGGGNAGUAACACGUAGGUAAUCUACCUUUGGAUUGGGAAUAACCACCGGAAACGGUGGCUAAUACCGAAUAAUGCAGCGGCACCUAAUGGUGACAGUUGUUAAAGCGGGGGAUCGCAAGACCUCGCGUCUGAAGAGGAGCCUGCGGCAGAUUGGCUAGUUGGUAGGGUAACGGCUUACCAAGGCUAUGAUCUGUAGCCGGCCUGAGAGGGCGGUCGGCCACACUGACACUGACAUACGGGUCAGACUCCUACGGGAGGCAGCAGUCGGGAAUUUUGGGCAAUGGGCGAAAGCCUGACCCAGCAACGCCGCGUGAAGGAUGAAAUCCCUCGGGAUGUAAACUUCGCAAGAACGGGAAGAAUAAGUAAGGGUUAAUAUCCCUUAUGAUGACGGUACUGUUUGUAAGCUCCGGCUAACUCCGUGCCAGCAGCCGCGGUAAUACGGGGGGAGCAAGCGUUGUUCGGAUUUACUGGGCGUAAAGGGCGCGUAGGCGGCCACCGCAAGUCGAUUGUGAAAUCUCCGGGCUUAACCCGGAAAGGUCAACCGAUACUGCGGGGCUAGAGUGCAGAAGGGGCAACUGGAAUUCUCGGUGUAGCGGUGAAAUGCGUAGAUAUCGAGAGGAACACCUGCGGCGAANGCGGGUUGCUGGGCUGACACUGACGCUGAUGCGCGAAAGCUAGGGGAGCGAACGGGAUUAGAUACCCCGGUAGUCCUAGCCUUAAACGAUGAAUGCUUGGUGUCUGGGGUUCUAUAGUCCCCGGGUGCCGUCGCUAACGCUUUAAGCA